CCACCUCUUACUCCAAGCCCGUCCUCACCAUUGGGUUACCACCAGGUCCCUCUUCCAGGAGCCCUCCCUAUUGGCUGUAGGACUUUGCCGGUUCGGGCUGUGACUGGUCAUGGAGAGAAGUCCAUCCCCUGAGCAACCACCUGAGAGGGGUCGGAGAAUGGAAAGACUGGCCAACCGAGGACAGAGGAUGGAAAGAAUUCCAGACCAACUUCUGAUCUCAUGGAGCCCAAGGACCCCCGUGAUGGGUUUGGAAACCAAACUUGUUUGUGACUUUUUGAUAUAUAAUCCACUGUUUCUUAGCUGUUAAUACAGUUUCUGGCACAUA